AUUGAACGCUGGCGGCAGGCUUAACACAUGCAAGUCGAGCGGGGAUUUCGGUCCUAGCGGCGAACGGGUGAGGAAUGCUUUGGAAUCUGCCCGGUAGUGGGGGAUAACGUUUCGAAAGGAACGCUAAUACCGCAUACGUCCUACGGGAGAAAGGGGGGAUCUUCGGACCUCUCGCUAUUGGAUGAGCCAAAGUCGGAUUAGCUAGUUGGUGGGGUAAAGGCCCACCAAGGCGACGAUCCGUAGCUGGUCUGAGAGGAUGAUCAGCCACACUGGAACUGAGACACGGUCCAGACUCCUACGGGAGGCAGCAGUGGGGAAUAUUGGACAAUGGGCGAAAGCCUGAUCCAGCCAUGCGGCGUGUGUGAAGAAGGCCUUCGGGUUGUAAAGCACUUUAAGUGGGGAGGAAUGGCUCUUGGCUAAUAACCUUGAGCAGUGACGUUACCCACAGAAUAAGCACCGGCUAACUCUGUGCCAGCCGCCGCCGUAAUAC
rnacentral:rRNA from 1 species